CUGAAAUCCUGGACAGACAAUAAUGGAUCAUCAUCAUCUCCCAGCAGAUAUGAUCACCUCUCCCAGGCAGCCUUUAGGUCAGUGUCCUUCUUUGGCCACCUCUGGAAGCACCAGGCCAACUGAUAAUUGCACAGCCUCGCACAGCCCUCAGAUGAACUCAUCUUUCAUUCAUUACAGUAACAGAAACAGGAGCUGGGAGAAAGGCCUUUUCAACUGUACAGCUGGGGAAUUACACCUACCAGCACCAUGAAGGCAAGGAUUUUCAUCUGCUUUUCACCACCAUCAUCCCAGAGCCAGACAGUGCUGAGCACCUAGCAGGGUGGAAGUAAGAUGGCUCAGAAUUUCCCAGCCUUACAACUACAGAAAACAGUAUCUGGAGGGAAAAUGAGAUCAUUUCUCAAUGCAGAUCUCAGGAAUAAGGAGGAGGAUCAUGAAAGAACACGGGCCUCACAAACGUGUGCCAAGAGACAAUGAUAAAAGAGAUAUCCACUGGCUUCUAGAAAAACAGAGAGUCUGAAAGGAGAAAGGAGAAGUGUUUGCUUGACCUCCUGGGCUCCUAUGUACAUGGAGCCCACACUUGAAAAGAGCAGUAGU